UUAAAAUAUCAUUGUCUUGCUCUCGAGACACACAAAAAAGAGAGCAUAAAUUUUCCAUCACCAUCAACUCACCAUCUGCAUCACCUUUUGAAAGAAACUCAAAAAGUCCACUCUUCCAUCAUCAUAACAACAACCACAUUUUUUCUCUCUAUAACAAAAAAAAUAAGCUCCUACUCCAGACCCUUCAACAUUGGAACUGAUCAUCAACCCACCACGGCAACCUUCAU
rnacentral:lncRNA from 1 species